GUCGGUGUCACGACAGAUAAAAGGUAAUUCAGUAAGAUGGUUGAUUGAUGGCACUUACAAUUAGCGGCUUAAAAAGGAUGGGAGGAAGCGAUCUAUAUAUCUCUCUAGUACAUCACUAUACUGCUUGGAAUAUGAAUAUGGUUGUGGAAAUUUCUGUAUAGUUUGUCUCCGGAUUUGCCCUUAAAAUGUCACCAUUCAUUCUUGAGUCAACUUCAAUUUGAGGUUCAGAGAACUUUUUACCCUGUGAAUGCGAUGUAUAUUGUGGACCUGAAGAAUUGAGGGUCUGUACUGUAUUACUUGUGUGAUUUCUGUACCGAAUCAUUGAGCUGUCUCGCAAGUAAAAAUAUUAU
rnacentral:misc_RNA from 1 species